UCCGGAUUUCUGAACUAAGGGAGAUUCACCGGAAAGGGCUUACAGUGAUAAACCAUCAUUUUGGGAGAAGAGAUCGCAUUAUAUGGUUACAUAAAUACACAACGGCUUGCUUCUGCCAGUAUUCAACGAUGGAAGCCAAAUUAUGAGAUGUGGUGUAGUUGAAGACUGAGUGAACCAUGGCACAGUUCCCCACCACAUUCACAGAUGUGUUUCAGAUCUCGGUGGAUGAGAGAGCCAAACAUGAUCAGCAGUUUCACAGCCUCUCUCCGACUGCUGCGGGUUA